AGCGAACGCUGGCGGUAGGCCUAACACAUGCAAGUCGAACGGCAGCACAGUAAGAGCUUGCUCUUACGGGUGGCGAGUGGCGGACGGGUGAGGAAUACAUCGGAAUCUACUUUUUCGUGGGGGAUAACGUAGGGAAACUUACGCUAAUACCGCAUACGACCUACGGGUGAAAGCAGGGGAUCUUCGGACCUUGCGCGAUUGAAUGAGCCGAUGUCGGAUUAGCUAGUUGGCGGGGUAAAGGCCCACCAAGGCGACGAUCCGUAGCUGGUCUGAGAGGAUGAUCAGCCACACUGGAACUGAGACACGGUCCAGACUCCUACGGGAGGCAGCAGUGGGGAAUAUUGGACAAUGGGCGCAAGCCUGAUCCAGCCAUACCGCGUGGGUGAGGAAGGCCUUCGGGUUGUAAAGCCCUUUUGUUGGGAAAGAAAAGCAGCAGGUUAAUACCCCGCUGUUCUGACGGUACCCAAAGAAUAAGCACCGGCUAACUUCGUG
rnacentral:rRNA from 1 species